CCCACCGGGCGUGUUUGAUGGCUUCCCUCUACUCCACACCAGAUGCCUCUGGAUGGGAUUGAACUUGGGUUCUUGCGCUUGCAAGGCAGGCAGCGAAACCACUGAGCUAAAUUCCCAGCGGCAUGAUAUUUUUAAAAAUAUGCCAUGAAGUAAACAGGCCUCCUAUGCCACACAUUCUCACUGUGAUGUACUGUGCCAGUACUGUGAUGUACUUGACCGAAAGCAACAGGGCCAAGCAACCAUGGACUGAAGCCUCUGAAACUGCAGUUGGGGCCAGCCCAUGAGGAGCCAACAUGGACAGUCGAGGAGCCAACUGGAGAGGUCAAUGAAGACACAUUCAACAAAGGCCAGCAUUAUCCUCUUUUGUUGCCAGUUCAGAGAGCCCAAGUGGUUGAAUAUCAGAUUGUUCCAUCUCGUUUCCCUUUGGAGUUGUUAGUAUCGUCCUGCUGACAAUCCUUUCCUAGGACUGCCUGUUGCCACCAGGAAAAAGAUGCCACAGAAAGUUCCCACCGGACGAAACCAGCUGCCCAGAUUUUCUUCUCAGGAAGAUUUGGGAGAAAAUUUCCCAUGAAAAAAUUUGCUAUAUGAUUUUAAUAUUUUUGUUAUUUUCAUUUUAACAAUUAUUGCAGCCAAACUAGCCAGUGACAAAAUAACUGAAAAUGAUUGUGAAUGCAUAAAAUUUAUAUGAAAUGUGAAAGUCUUUGGCCCUACUUUUUGGAAGUUAAAUGUCCCAAUAAGAAGAACCAUAAUUUUAGCAUGGAACAAAAUGUAUGUUUUUGUGUUAAUUAUAUUGAAAACAUGCAUAUUUGAAUCGAUCCUCAGUUUAUCUUGUAUUUUCACACACAAAAGAAGUUAACUCAGAAUUUUUAAGAUUUCACCAAUGGAAUAAAUUUGAAUUCUCUGAACCUGAAAAGAUAGUUUCAAUAUAUAUGAAGAAUUAUAUUUACAUUAAUGUAUAUGUAACGUGGGAGCAAAAGACCACAAAACUUCCACCGUGAAAUAACAAAUGAGAAAACAUUUGUUGAAGUCAGUUUUCCAGUGUGGUUACAGUUAUGAGGUAGAAAUGGAAAGUGUCUUUCUGAAUCUCCUUGCUUUGUAUCCUUUCCCAUUAAAGGGCAAUGAAAACUACUAGGAUUUGUACUUAUUAAAGAUUCCAAAAAUUUAAAACAAAAUGCUUAGUUUCAAAAGCUGAAGUCUGCAGUCACCAGGUCCUUUCGGUGAAAACAGUUGUCUCAUCACUUUACUUCUGGGAGAGCUGCUUGGCACAUAGUGAACAGGAAUGAAAACAUGAGACAGCAGAAAAUCUAAGACAGUGCAGUCUGACAGGCAUCCUUUUGUAAUCAGUAAUGGAAUAGCUGGAACGCUACCUUUAUACGCAGAAGUUUCUG
rnacentral:lncRNA from 1 species